UUUUCCCAGUUUGUGUUUUAAGUGAACUGCACUAAAAACCUGAAGCAAACUGUACUCACACCACUUCCUGAGGUAGUCAGUGUGUUUGGACUUUGUGGCUUUCUUGUAAAAUUCAACUGAAUUGAUAUCAAACACCCUGGAAAGAAGCAAUUCUGUGUUUACCCACUGUAUGUAUGGUGCAGCAUAUUACAGAUGUAUGUAUUUGUAAAUGUUCUGUGUCAUUCUGUGUUUUUAAAGUACUAUAUCUUAAUUUCUGCAGCUAGAUGAAAUGGAUUCCAGAGUUGUCAGGCUUAAGCCUGUACGUGAUGCUGAGUGCCACAUAAAAUCAAGAACUGAAAGCCAUACCUUAAGCAGCGCUUCAUGAACAAGUUCAAAGAUGAAGCAGAUGCCGUUAUUGAGAUGUCAAGACCCUGUUUGCCAGAAGCAAGUUCAGAACAGGUGAUUCAAUCAUUGUGUGAGCAAAUCGAAAGAUGCGACUUUUCAUGUUGGAGCUAUAAUAGAAGAUGCUGUGACUGAGAUGUCAAGACCCUGUUUGCCAGAAGCAAGUUCAGAACAGGUA